rnacentral:ncRNA from 2 species
AGUUUCGCGCCACUUUCGGGUGCCCGGGAGCCUGCCAGGCUACGGGUUAAACGGGAAGUCGGUGAACCUUGGGUUGCGAACAGCCCCCCAAGGUGAAUCCGGCACUGCCCCCGCAACGGUGAUUGAGUACACCGCGAUCCGCGACCGGUCCGGCGCCGGCCGCCACCACUGUGCCUCAGGCAUGGGAAGGUGAUCGCGGCGGAAGAAUGUUCCACCUUCCACCUCAUCAGUCCGGAUACCGGCCCGAAGGGGAGAGGCUUG